AAACCUUCAACAUGUUAAGUUGUGACUGCACAAACCUUGCCCUCAGUAAUGUUCAAGAUAUCUUACCUGUGUUCUCUUAAGGACAUCUGUUCUUUUAAGUUCAAAUGUACAUGUUAAACAGCAACACCUGGUGCCAAACCACUCAAAGACAAUAUUUCGUUCCAGUUAAACUUCAAGCUCAUAUUUCAAUUAACUGCAUUUAAUUUUAAAAGCUAAGCUUAUUACAGUAAGCGUAUCCCAUUCAAAAUAAAUUCUUUAGUCAGGAUUAAAGUAUCAUACAUUUAUUAUGUACUCUUUAAUUAAACAUUUGUUUUCUGUUAAAUUGAUUUUGACUAAUGAAAUUAUUUGCUUCUUAUUAACAUCCUUAACUUUUUGCCAGAUAUAUUUUUUGCCAUUUCUCACCAUAAACCCUUUCGGCUGGGGAUACCAAUUCAUCGAAUUUGCUUGUUAAUUUUGAAAUUUUUGAGCCUUGCUGUGUGUACAACAAUCUAUGAUCCUGUAAAAAAUAGAUUCAUAGUAUAAUAACUUUUAUAGUAUUUUGUGGUAAGUUAAUGAAACCUUUCACAAUCACAUUAUUAAUUUAGUAUUCAUGAAGUUUUUGAUUUUAGUGAUGUUUACAGUACAUGUAAUGUAUCUUCUUUCAGAUGAUAUUCCUUGUUCCUUUGAUGGUUCAUUCCACUAUACAGCUGGUUCAUAUACCCUACAACAGCCAGGAAAUUGGUCUGUUUAUUUUAAGAUCCCAAGAAAAUGUAACAUAUUUUGGAUGUGCUUUGAGGAAUCAGGAAUGCAAGUGUUUCCUCUUGUUUAUGAAGCAACUCAGUUGGUUAAGGGGCAGACAACUUGUGAGCAUGGUACAUCACUACAUGUAUUGGUAUUCCAUUUUGACAAUGUUGCUAGCUAGAAUAGAAAUAACAUAUUGCUGUGGUACAGUCUGUGGAGACUUUUACUAGGAUAUCACAGAUUGAAUGAUUAUUCAACUAUGAUCACAGACCAUGCAAAGUUUGAAUCUGACUUGCACUUUUGAAUUUAGAAGAAUCUGUGGAGGAGGGUGAAUGCUGAGACCUUUAAUAAUACAUGAUAUUGCUGACACAGUGUGUCAGUCAUCAAAGAAAGGCCAUAACACCGCACAGUUGGUCAACAAUGAUUUAAAUCCUGUCACAUUCUACCAGUGGAGAAAUACCUUAUCACAAUAUUUUAAACUUUUGAAGAAGACAACCAAGUAUUACCACUUUAUCAUGUCUGCAGAAACACCUGGAUUGUUAGUGUUAAAAGUGACAGUCCAGUUAACUUACUAAAAUCUACUCCCCCUUGCCAAACGAAUAUUAUUGACAUGGAAUGACACAAGCCUGACAAUGGUACCUGUAUGAACUCAUAAGAGAAUAGUAUUUGUCUGAAAAGUCAAAGGAUUCUGUUUUUCCCAAACCACUUCAACUGAAAACUGAAAUUGUGAAUGGCGAGGAUUUUUCUGAGAACUGAAAAAAGGAAGUGAAUGUAAAAGAUAGAAAUUGUUGUUGAAUUCAAACGUUUUAAUACACAACACUUUAGCCUGUUUUGCUGUUCAUAUAGAUGUGUUUAGCUGUUAAGGUUAAACAUCAAGUAAAGGUUGUAGUUUCAGUUACCUACAUUAAAGUAUUGGCUGGAAAUAAAUAUUUACUUUUCA